GAUGAACGCUGGCGGCGUGCCUAAUACAUGCAAGUCGAGCGAACAGACGAGGAGCUUGCUCCUCUGACGUUAGCGGCGGACGGGUGAGUAACACGUGGAUAACCUACCUAUAAGACUGGGAUAACUUCGGGAACCCGGAGCUAAUACCGGAUAAUAUAUUGAACCGCAUGGUUCAAUAGUGAAAGACGGUUUUGCUGUCACUUAUAGAUGGAUCCGCGCCGCAUUAGCUAGUUGGUAAGGUAACGGCUUACCAAGGCAACGAUGCGUAGCCGACCUGAGAGGGUGAUCGGCCACACUGGAACUGAGACACGGUCCAGACUCCUACGGGAGGCAGCAGUAGGGAAUCUUCCGCAAUGGGCGAAAGCUUGACGGAGCAACGCCGCGUGAGUGAUGAAGGUCUUCGGAUCGUAAAACUCUGUUAUUAGGGAAGAACAAAUAUGUAAGUAACUAUGCACGUCUUGACGGUACCUAAUCAGAAAGCCACGGCUAACUACGUG
rnacentral:rRNA from 1 species